AAAACAUAGCGCCAGAAAAGCUUAGCUGAGCACAGCAUAGCUCAAUGUUGAUUGGUCACCCUAAAGUUAGGCCCCCUACUAUUAAUAACUAUGCAACUCACCCCUUCUAUAAUUCGAUCCAGAACACAUUAU